UUGUUACAGCUUCUAAUGAUGUUUCAUUAACAAGUUCAGGUCAAUGAGGCUCUCAUGGGGUUUCUAGCUAAGAUAAUUCAAGCGAAAGCAAAUUAAGGGAUCUCCUAGACAGCUCAAAAUACAUGCUUACCUUUGGGAGCAUUUAUCUGUGGAGAGGAACAGAGUUUCUUGUGUUAAGUUGUUUUCGGAAGCAAGGAAUAAUCUUCUUCCAGUUUCAUCUUUCGUCAUUCGCCCGCUUAGCUCUACGAAAGAUCACAAGGCCUUGGCUCAAUUAGAGGUAAAAAACAAAUUGCUGAGCAGUAAAGAAGGAUUUGUGUAGGGAAUUGAGGUUCCACUUCUAGGGAGAUUCAUUAUUCAUGUUCAGUUCCUCGAUUUGAAAACUUCAUCUUCAAAUGUGGACUACAACGAUAAGGUCUUAUCAUUAGAAAAGAAGAUGGACGGUAUUUGUGGUAUAUUAAAGGUGAUAUUGCACCAACUCAAUCCUGGAAUGAGUGACGAAGAGGUAGCAGUCUUAGUGCAAGCAGUCCAAAAUUCUCCUUUGGAUGCCUCAAGUAGUAGACCAAGAAAUACUCUUCACUCCUCCGAAGCAACUCACAUUCCACCAACCGAUGAUAUAAGGCAGUGGUAAAAACAAUGGAGCUCAUAAUAAAUAAUCACACUACUCAUGGAAUUUGAUAUUUUGUAAAAGAAGUAGAUAUGUGACACUUAUUGGAAUUGCAAUUCUUAUUUACUUCUUAUGGCUUUACUUUUUGGUACUUUAUCAUCAAAAUCUACUUUUGUGGUGACAAGUUUUAUAUGUAUGUCUUUUUUAUGGGAAAGUUUAUAUAUAUGUUGGAUGAGUUCAAUAUAUAUAAUU